rnacentral:rRNA from 1 species
UGGGGAAUCUUGGACAAUGGGGGCAACCCUGAUCCAGCGACGCCGCGUGGGUGAAGAAGGCCCUAGGGUUGUAAACCGCUUUCACCGGGGAGGAUGAUGACGUUACCCGGGGGAGAAGCACCGGCUAACUCCGUGCCAGCAGCCGCGGUAACACGGAGGGUGCUAGCGUUGUUCGGAAUCACUGGGCGUAAAGGGCGCGUAGGCGGCAUCGCCAGUCAGAUGUGAAAGCCCAGGGCUCAACCCUGGAACUGCAUUUGAUACUGCCAAGCUAGAGGUCGGAAGAGGAGAGUGGAAUACCCAGUGUAGAGGUGAAAUUCGUAGAUAUUGGGUGGAACACCGGUGGCGAAAGCGGCUCUCUGGUCCGAAUCUGACGCUGAGGCGCGAAAGCGUGGGGAGCAAACAGGAUUAGAUACCCCUGUAGUCC